GGUGACAAGAGGAGUCACUUCCUCUGAAAGAGUCCUCAGGGAAGUUUGCUCUAAGGGGUUGGCAGUGGCGUGUAAAAUAAGACCUGAGAAAUAAGAAGGAACCAGUUAUGCAAAGGGCCGGGGGAAGCAUAUGCAAGGACUCCAAGGUGGCAGGCAUCACGGCAUAUGAGAGGACCAAAAAGACAGCCGAGUGGCUGGUCUUGGGUGGUGAUAUUGAAGAUGUCAAGUUUGUGAUUUAAAAUGGAAUGUGUACAGAACACAGCGGGAACAGCUCGUCUCUGCUCCGUGAUGGCUGGGGCCUCAGCUGGAAUUAUCUGAAGGCUUCUUCAAGCCCUUGUGUGGAGGUUGAGUGUAGCUGUUGGCCAAGAAACUAGCUGGUUUUGUCAACUCAGAUACCUCUACUUGCACCUGGGUUCCAAAGAGGCACAGAAGGAACAUGGCCAUGUGAAGAUACAGACACAGAAAUAGAACAUCAUGUAAAGAUGGAGGCCAAGAUUGUAGUGAUGCAUCUACAAGUCAAAGAAGACCUGGGACUACCAUGGACCAGAAGAGACAAAGAAGGAUCCUUCUCUACAGGCUUUGGGGUGUGGGGCACAGCCCUGCCAACACCUUGGUCUUGGACUUCCAGCCUCCAGAACUGUGAGACACAUGCAAGGGAAGGGAAAGAAGACCAGCUCUCAGCCACUCCUGGCAAGGCAUUGUAUGGAAUGAAACAUUGUUCAAGAUAUCAUGAAACUCCAAGGAUCUGGUCAUUUUGUUUCCUCAAGGAAGAAACAUUGUUCUCUGCUCCAGGUGACUUCAGGAGACCAAGUGAUCUGCCCUUUCUGUCUCUGCCUCACUUCUCCUGCUGCCACCUGCAUCUCUCUGGUGCCUUUGAGUUCACAUGGAGGAUGAGUACCCUGCACAGUCGGCAGCCUCGGUUGGAGACAGCUCUUCUGCCAGCCACUCCCUUGGCCACCAGUGAUGGCUAAUCCUGUUGGUUGUCUACCUCUGGUCCUGUCAACCCGGUGAUGAGGCUACUUGGUUCUAAGAAGGGUGACCAACAACCAUGGACUUCCUUUGAGAGGAUACUGGGUGUUGUUAAUACAGAAUAUAUAAGUCAGCAGGCACCUCACUAAGUAUUCCAAGUGUAUUCCACCCCUUUCCUUCUAUUUACCAAGAAGCUAAUGAGUCGUUGUAUCCAUUGCCGUCCCUUUCACACCUUCCUUUCUUACUAUACUAAAUCCCUGAAAUCUUGGCACUCUGACUUCUGAAACCACCUUCCUUUUCUUAACUCUAACUGAAAUUAUCUCCCAACUUUAAUAGCCACUUGUCUUUCCCUCCUUGAACUUGCUUCUGUGUUAAAAAUCAUAGAUUGUCCAACUCUACUUGCAAGUCCCCUAUCUUGGCUUCUAUGACUGCAUUAUCCUGGGCAUAGGGUGCAGGCAGGGGCGGGGGUGCAGGUGGGGGUUGGACAGAAAAGUGCAGGGGAACCCUUGGCAUCAAUGAACCUGGACAUUAACCUGGAUUAUUCCCAGAACUCAAUAUCUAUGUAGCAUUGUGCUUGUUAAUUCUGGUCCAUUCAAUACAUUUUAUUUUGUGCACUUACUGUAUUUGUGAUGACUGAGUAAUGGGGAAGAAUUCCAGAUAACACCAUGGGUUGGGCUUAAAUGAAUAAGAGAAUAAAUGUGCAGAUGCACAAACCUUCCUUCUUGUACCCAAUGAGAUGCCAAGAUCUGUUGAUUCAACAUGCAUAACGUCUCCCAGAUUUAUUCCUCUUCUUCAUUCCCACUACCCUGGUAGAACUCCUUGCUACCUUAGAUGUGGCCUAGUGAUUAAUGAGCUGAAUUCUGAGCAGCUCCUGGCACUUCCAGGGAGACUCAGUAGGGACUUCUGUAGGUGGGAAGGCAAGAAAGUGUUGAGUUCCCUUGGCAAGGUCCAUUCUUGCCUCUUCAUUUUAACAAGGUCAGUUCUACUUUUAUCUGUCUUAUGUGGAUUUUUGUUUUAAUCUGAAGAAAACAACACUGACCUAGAUAUUGACCCUGCCUCAUCUUUCAUUUCUCUAUGUCCAGAGUGCUCUCCCUACAGUCCACUUUAGAGUCAGCUUUCAGAUUAUUUAUCCCAAAGCAUGUUCCUCAUCAUGUCAUAUUCCAUUAUCUGUAAAUGCACUUCCCAAAAUAGUAGCCAUUAGCCAUAUGCAACUUAUGUCAUAUGACAUAUGUAAAUUAGUUAAAAUAAAUUAAAAAUUCAGUUCCUUAGUUGCACUAGCCAUAUUUAGUUGCUCAAUAGCCACACGUAUCUAGUGGCCGCCAUAUUGCACAGCUCAUUAUAUACAACAUUUCCAUCACUGUGGGCCUUUCUAUUGGGCAGAGCUGGCCUACAUAACUAGAUAAAAAUUUCUGAUUUUGGCUCUAGGACUUAAAACUAUCCUUGCUGGACCCCUCUGCUGCUGUUUUCCUUCAUGUGAUGCUCCUGUAAGACUGAACUCUUAUCAAACAUAGCUACUCACUUCCUGACCUCAGGCCUCUGCUUACCCAGCUCCAUGUAGAGCAUCUUUUGCUCCAACACUGCACACCCAAAUCCUACUCCCCAUUUAAUGACUCUGCUCCAUGAAGUCCUUUCUAAUUUCCCAACUCAAAGGAAUUCUCUCUUCCUGUGAAUUUUCAUAGGAUUUUAGGUGAAGCACUCUAAUGUCAUCUACCACAUUUCUUCUAGAAUUGUAACUAUCUGUGCAUAUGUUUUAGCUCUUGACUUGCUAGGGGUUCCUCUGGAAGCUGAUUCUGAGACAAGGAAUCCUCUGAGACUGGGAUUCAAAUGUGAGUUGUGUAGGUGAGAGGUAAUU